rnacentral:ncRNA from 2 species
UUAUUAGGUAGAGGAGCUGUUAAUAAUAGUAGUUAUGAAGAGCUGGCAAGCGAAGAAACAUGACGAAAGGAUUAAUAGCCGAAGAAAUAAAAAAGCAAAGUUUAUUUCUGGGGAUACAUAUAAUAUGUGUAUCACUGUCACGUAAGUGGAGAGCUACGAAAAAU